rnacentral:rRNA from 1 species
UACAGAGGGGGCAAGCGUUGUUCGGAAUUACUGGGCGUAAAGGGCGCGUAGGCGGCCUUCUAAGUCGAACGUGAAAUCCCUGGGCUCAACCCAGGAACUGCGUCCGAUACUGGAAGGCUUGAAUCCGGGAGAGGGAUGCGGAAUUCCAGGUGUAGCGGUGAAAUGCGUAGAUAUUGGGAAGAACACCUGAGGCGAAGGCGGGUUGCUGGGCCGACACUGACGCUGAGGCGCGAAAGCCAGGGGAGCAAACGGG